AUUAAUUGGUUAUAAAAACCAAAACCACAGUGGCAAAAGCGCCUAACACAUCGUAUUUCAAAGGACCCGUCGACCGCCUGAGCAGCAGCACGUCGCGCCAGCUCCACCGCCGCAUCGCGCGCCUGUGAGCCUCCGCACGCCGCACCUCUGCAUCGACCGCUCGUUUGCAGCCCACCUCUGCAUCGCGCGACUGGGAGCCGCUGCAGCACUGCACCUCGUGCUCGUGAGCCGCCGCACGCCGCACCUUUGCAUCGACCGCUCGUUUACAGCCCACCGCUGUAUCGCGCGACUGUGAGCCUCCGCACGCACGCACCUCUGCAUCGACUGCUCGUUUGCCACCCACCUGGCUCCUCUGCAGUUCAGCAGUUCAACGGUAAGCAUUUUUUUUUUAAUCCGAAGAAAAUAGUUCCUGUCCCUCCAAUGAUAUGUGGGCUCUGGUUGCUCACUUAGCAUUGCUAAAUAGGUUUGCACACAUAUGUGAAUAUGUUUUUAGCAGUCUGGGU
rnacentral:lncRNA from 1 species